UACGGAGGGUGUAAGCGUUAUCCGGAUUCACUGGGUUUAAAGGGAGCGUAGGUGGGUUGGUAAGUCAGUGGUGAAAUCCCCGAGCUUAACUUGGGAACUGCCAUUGAUACUAUCAGUCUUGAAUACUGUGGAGGUUAGCGGAAUAUGUCAUGUAGCGGUGAAAUGCUUAGAUAUGACAUAGAACACCAAUUGCGAAGGCAGCUGGCUACACAAUUAUUGACACUGAGGCUCGAAAGCGUGGGGAUCAAACAGG
rnacentral:rRNA from 1 species